ACCCGUCUACUAGGAGUUAGUUACAGGAAGGGUCUCUCUCUUGGGUCCAGAUGCGUGGGAGGAAGUGGCCAGUUUAGGGCCUCAGGGGGUGAUGGCAGAAUUAGAAGAUGAGGCUGGGGAGGUGGGGGUACAAGGAGAAGGAAGGCUGAAGAUAAAGAGGAGACUAGGUUUCAGGGGAGCUAUGUUAGGGAGAGCUGCGUUGGAAGGGCCCCUCAGUAACCUAGGGGAGGACAGCGACGCUCCAGGCCAGGCUGUCACUGCUGCCUGUCGAAGGAGAACAUGGCCUCUGGGCUGAGUGUGCCUCCAGGACCCUAGUUUGUGUGGAAGGAGGCAGGGCUGAGACAGGAGAAGAUGGAGGAGGCUGAGGGUCUUGCCACCCCUGUAGGAGACCGGGUGGAAUUGGGCAGUUGGUGCCCUGAAAAAUGAUCAGGAAGACAGGCAGCGGGGUGCAGGGCCGCAGGUGGGCCGGGAGGGUAGACUUGAACUUGUCAAUACCAGCAGUCCCCUUUUUUUCCAGACAAAGGGUUGUGAACCCUCCUGGGGAUGAGGCCUGGUCUUGUGGAAACUCAACUUAGCUUCGCGGGGCUGACGGCUCUGGCCCAGGGUGGUGGCAGUGCUCCCCUUUGGACUUUUCCUCUAGGUUCGGUGCUAACCUCUCCUGUGAGCGCACUCUACCCCUCCUCCCUUUAACUCUCUCGAGGUUGUCCGUUCUCUUAAAAUAUUGCUUCUGGUAAUCUGGUAAGCCCGUAAAAAUUGCUCCAGUUCCUAUUGGAGUCGGUAUUGUUGGUAAUCUUGGAGGAGGAAAGGCUCUCCCUGUCGAGACUGGGUGGGGCGGGUCGUGUGGCUUGCUGGUGGAGAGGGUGGGGACUGAAUGUGCACCCUUGGGUGGGCCCGCAGCGAUGGCAGCAGCUGAAAGUUAUGAAAGUGCUUCAUGGACCCUGGUUUGUUACUGUAGUGUUCAUCAUGGCGAUCAGAUGGCACCAGGAGAAAUGGAGCCCCUGGCCAAUGAGUCCUAGCAGUGCAGGAGGGGAGACCCUGGAGGAGAGCCCGCCUAAUUUGAUGCCUGCAGAUUGAAUUUCCAGAGUCUUAGGAGGAAGUUCUCCAGUGUCUGUUUCCAGGCCUUGCUCAGGAAGCCCUGUAUUCAGGAGGCCAUCAUUUAAGGUUUUCAGAUGAGCUUCUGAGGGGCCAGUUUUAAAUCCAAAGCAGAUGCAUCCGGGGCCACCAGCAAAUGUGUGUGCUUGAAUUUUGAUCCGGGAGCAGCAACCUCUGGGCACGUGAAUGCCAGCAGGCGCCCCUCCUUUCUGGGUGGAGAUUUGCAGAUGCUGAGAUGCUGCAUCUUCUUAAUUGAGCCUCCUGUCCUACUAGUUCUGUGCUACGAACCUUGCUUCCAGAAGAUUCUUAAGCUGUAGAACAUUAUAAUGUUGAUGCCACAACGGAGAGCGAUGCCUUGCAGAUGGACCCUCUCACCCCCUCGCCUGCCUGUGCAUUGGUCGGAGGAGUUCUUAGUGUGAUGGAACUGUGGGGAAAUGGUCAAGUUGGAAAUGCCUUAGGCAAAUACUUGGAUGAAGUAAAUUGGGGGGAGGGAUCAUCGUUUGUGGUCUUGGGAGGGUACAAGUUGCUCAUGCCCAAAUUACUAGAAAUGGCAGGUCUGGUUUGGGCAUUUUGACUGCAUUACAGUUUAAGAGAAGGGAAUGGUCGGGGUACUGAUAGCGAUCUUUGAUUCAGCUUGCUCUGUUUAACUUGAAUUUUACUUGAUUAGAUUUCACAGUAAUCUUGGUAUACAAAUGGGAAGAUCCUGAGGUGAGGGUUGUAGGAUGGGGAGGGCACAGGUCAGUACUUGGAGGUGGUGGGGGGGGUGAAGAAAAGGAGGGGGUGGUUAGGCAUAUUGAAGAGGAUGCGGGUGGUAGGGAAUGUGGGUUGAAGAGAAUUUUCUGAAAAAAGGGAGGGCACAGCUUGGGACUGGGAGGGGUGGGGGUGAUUGGUGUAUUACAGAGGGUGGGCGUGGUAGGGAAUGUGGGUUGAAGGGAACUCUGGAAAAAAGACCAGUGAGCAGCUGUGGGGAAUUCAGUAGAGCUCAUGGGCUAAGAAAACUAGUUAGUAUGAGUAAAUUGUUAAUGCUAGUUAAAUUGUUGCUUGGAGGCACAAAAGCACUUAGAACUGUAAGUGCAGGGAGGAAAGCAAAAUUGUUUUGCUUUGCUACAAGGUGUAGUUGAAAACCUGAGUAUCAGUCACUUGAAAGAUGGGUGGCAAAACUUUGGGUCCGCAGAGGAUUGAUGUCCUUCAGUGCCUUGCAGGCUUGAGGGCUCAUCUGAUGCUGAAGGUGGGCAGUGUUCAGGAGCGGUCAGUCUUGGAAGACACUAAAUGCUCAACUGUGGGCUUUUAAAGCAUUUAGGUUUGCGAUUUUGGUGUGCGCUCGAGAUUGGGUGUAUACUCUUCUGGGUUCCUCGCUUCAUCUUUUGGUUCACUGAGAUAUCUGUGAUCGAAAAUUCUGAGCCCGGGGAUGGAAAGAGAGAAAAAAAAACCUUUUCUAGUUGUACAUAGCUGUGUAAAGGUUCCUUUUUUACACUAUGGUCAGCUGUCAACUAUAUUUAAAAAUGCGAUGAUUUCUAAAGGAAUUUUGUAUGUUACCUUGUGCCUUGCAAACAUCGUUUGUCCUUUCUUUGUUGUCAGUUAAUAACAAGUUUUUGCUUAUUUUCAUAGUCAUUGUAAGGAGAGCCGAAUAACCUUUCGUGGUCACUAAAAUUUACUGUACUAUUUGGUAGCAAACAUUCAUGUACCUACCCUUGCUAAGGUUAGAGUUUUACCAUCUUUAGUUUGAAUAUUUGCUGUUUAAAUGAUCAGUACUAGAAACUAUCAGCCAAAUUCAGUUUGAGGAGUAAGCAAAAUGGGAGGCCUUUACUAUAUGUGGUCUUGUAAAAAUUCAGGGGAAGAUCCGAUAACCUUUUAUAAGAUAUCGCUUGUUUCUGAGAUGCCUCUGUUGAAUUGAUAAAUAUCGGUGGCUUUUUGUUAUGUCUUCCUCUUAAAUUUCACUUAAAAAAUUUUAAAUCCCUGAUCCUUUUUGCUUUUGGGUUUCUUCAGUCUUGCGGGUUUUGGGGGGUUUUUUUUAAUGUUUAAAAAUACUUUGGCCUGAUCUGUUAAUCAGUGACUGUCAUUGGCAUUUAGAGUAUCAGUCUCGCAUGGAUGGGGAAAUACGUGGGGUAUGCUGUUGCAAAAUCGAAACUGUAAAAGCAGGUGGUUGAAGUACUUGUAUGAUGCUGUUUUGUAAGAACGAGCCCUGUUGCCUCAUGUACGUGAUUACUAAUCCUUUUUCCUUCCCAUUACAGCACAAAUAAAGGUUUGAGCUCUAAACUCACUAGAA